CCCUUAGAUGUCCUGGGCUGCACGCGCGCUACACUGAUGUGUCAAGUAAGCACCUAACCUCUUCCGAAAGGAACGGGUAACCUUUGCAAAGCACAUCGUGAUGGGGAUAGAUUAUUGCAAUUAUUAGUCUUGAACGAGGAAUUCCUAGUAAGCACAAGUCAUCAGCUUGUGUUGAUUACGUCCCUGCCCUUUGUACACACCGCCCGUCGCUCCUACCGAUUGAAUGUUCCGGUGAGCUCUUCGGACUGCGCGGUCUGCAGUUUCUGCGUUCCGUGCGGAAAGUUGCGCAAACCUUAACAUUUAGAGGAAGGAGAAGUCGUAACA
rnacentral:rRNA from 1 species